UAAGGAAUAUUGGACAAUGGACGCAAGUCUGAUCCAGCCAUGCCGCGUGAAGGAUGAAUGCCCUCUGGGUUGUAAACUUCUUUUAUAGGGGAAGAAAGAUACUUUUUUUAAGGUAGUUGACGGUACCCUAUGAAUAAGCACCGGCUAACUCCGUGCCAGCAGCCGCGGUAAUACGGAGGGUGCAAGCGUUAUCCGGAUUUACUGGGUUUAAAGGGUGCGUAGGCGGGCAUGUAAGUCAGUGGUGAAAUACCGGAGCUUAACUUCGGAACUGCCAUUGAUACUAUAUGUCUUGAAUAUUGUGGAGGUAAGCGGAAUAUGUCAUGUAGCGGUGAAAUGCAUAGAUAUGACAUAGAACACCGAUUGCGGAGGCAGCUUACUACACAAUCAUUGACACUGAGGCACGAAAGCGUGGGUAGCGAACA
rnacentral:rRNA from 1 species